rnacentral:rRNA from 1 species
UGGGGAAUAUUGCACAAUGGGGGAAACCCUGAUGCAGCGACGCCGCGUGAACGAAGAAGGUAUUCGUAUCGUAAAGUUCUGUCCUAUGGGAAGAUAAUGACGGUACCAUAGAAGAAAGCUCCGGCUAAAUACGUGCCAGCAGCCGCGGUAAUACGUAUGGAGCGAGCGUUGUCCGGAAUUAUUGGGCGUAAAGGGUACGCAGGCGGUUUAAUAAGUCGAAUGUUAAAGAUCGGGGCUCAACCCCGCAAAGCAUUGGAAACUGAUAAACUUGAGUAGUGGAGAGGAAAGUGGAAUUCCUAGUGUAGUGGUGAGAUACGUAGAUAUUAGGAGGAAUACCAGUAGCGAAGGCGACUUUCUGGACACAAACUGACGCUGAGGUACGAAAGCGUGGGGAGCAAACAGG